rnacentral:rRNA from 1 species
GACGAACGCUGGCGGCGUGCCUAAUACAUGCAAGUCGAGCGAAUGGAUUAAGAGCUUGCUCUUAUGAAGUUAGCGGCGGACGGGUGAGUAACACGUGGGUAACCUGCCCAUAAGACUGGGAUAACUCCGGGAAACCGGGGCUAAUACCGGAUAACAUUUUGAACCGCAUGGUUCGGAAUUGAAAGGCGGCUUCGGCUGUCACUUAUGGAUGGACCCGCGUCGCAUUAGCUAGUUGGUGAGGUAACGGCUCACCAAGGCAACGAUGCGUAGCCGACCUGAGAGGGUGAUCUGCCACACUGGGACUGAGACACGGCCCAGACUCCUACGGGAGGCAGCAGUAGGGAAUCUUCCGCAAUGGACGAAAGUCUGACGGAGCAACGCCGCGUGGGUGAUGAAGGCUUUCGGGUCGUAAAACUCUGUUGUUAGGGAAGAACAAGUGCUAGUUGAAUAAGCUGGCACCUUGACGGUACCUAACCAGAAAGCCACGGCUAACUACGUGCCAGCCGCCGCCGUAA